ensembl:lncRNA
GUUUGGUCCUCGUCAGAGUUCAGCGGUGUGAGACUCUUCCUCUGCACUGACACCAUUAGACCUGUAGGGGUCAGUAUGACAACGCUUCAAAUACGAAAACAUCUACAAUACCUUGAUUUCAGGGGGAAAAAAUAAACACUUUGUAAUACCACCCCAACUUUGUAGCACUAACUACAAGCGGGAAGUUAUAGAGUUAGUAAGGCACACUUUCCUAAUGACAGUCUAAGACAGCUAGCAUUUGAGAACUGAUGUCACACCUUGAUGUCAGAUACAUUUACUUAUGGUGGAUUUCAGCAGGGAUGAAAAAUUAUCAAUGCUUCAUCUUCUCUACUCUCUUGCAGCUGACUUUGGGUGCACACAUAUCUAUAUUGGAGGGGUGGACUGUAUUGUUUCCUCUCCCUAAACUUCCACUUGGGACUUCCAUUGAUUCAAUAGAAUGGAAAUACCACACAAUCAACAAAACAAUCUUACUGGCCAAGAUAAAUCUAAAGAAGGAACAGGAAUCAAGAUUUUUCAGCAGGAGGACUGGAAUGCAAAUAAUGGAGAAUGGUACACUUUACAUUGAAGAUGUAAAUGAUGAAGACUCUGGGAACUACUCUUGCACCAUAAUUUUCCAUGAUCGAAGGAUGCAGAUAGAGCAGAUUUAUCUUGAAGUACUUCAUGCUAAAGACUUGACGACACAACCGAACAGCAAAAUGUACAACACAACAUUUAAUCCAUCAGAGCCCAGUGUUACUGAAACAGCACUGAUCGCAAUAUCAGUGUGCUCAGCACUCGCAAUUCUCGCAAUUGUAGCCACUAUUUUCAUCUUCAAAUGUACAAGAAAUUGUUGCUGCACAUCAGACGAACCCAUCUACGCCAAUAAGAUGGUCAUAAUUCAAGGAAAUAAAAGGUCACAGGUGGGCAGAAGGACUCCAGAUAAUAAAACCAGAUAAAGACUCUCCAAUUAGCAAAGAGGUGAAUGUGAUAGAUGAGCCCAACAAGUUUGUGACAUCUGUGGUGUGUUGUGGUCAAGGCUGUCACUAUGCAGGAAAAUCUGCCACAUGUUUUUUAGUAUCACUUACAGUAAACACUGAUCUGUGAAGCCAUCUAUUGUGUUGUCUGUGGUUAUGGUCUCAUGCAGGGGCGCCUGCAGGGUUUCAUCUGAGGGUACACACAGAGUUACAGAAUUUUUAUUUUUAUUCUAUUUAUUUUUUGAAUGCAUGCCCUGAAAAUGGCAAAAAGCAACAGAAUGGUCAAAGACAUCCUAGUGCAUGUUCACAUAGGAAAACAACUGAAAAAAAAAAAAAAAACAGGCCGGGUGGACACAAAAAACGAUUCUGUGUGAAUGGCGACUUAUUAAUAUCAGCAUAGCAGUAGCUGAAUUAAAAAAAUAAAAAAAUAAACCUUUCACA